rnacentral:lncRNA from 1 species
CUGGCUGGAUGCAUCAUGUGAUCAGAUACCUGGGCGUGGAGCUAGCGUUCAGUGUGUUAUUCGGGAACGGGAAUCCCGGAACCGCAGAUCUCUGUCUCUCCACGUGUGAGUGACAUGUGAACUUUCCGUGCACCGGGAAUCUAUUCUUCUCAGUCUGAAGGGAAUCCGUGGUCUGGACGCUGCAACUACUGCCAAGGUUUUCCCACUCAUCUUCUUCUGGGGCAGCAGACUGUAAGGCGGGAAGGGGAUGCUGGGUAACGAAGGCCACGCCUGUUUGGCAGAGCGCUGACGUCCGUCGCUCAUCUCCCGGGAACGGCGGCAAGGUCAGGCGCGGCGGAACGGAAAGAGCGUCUGGAGCAUUAAAUACGGAUCAGAUUCAACACACACACAGUUCUCACUCAUGUGGAUGAAUUAGAU